AUUCUUUCCUUCUCCUUCCUUUUCACCCUCUACGUAUAAUUUCACCUGCAACACAACUAAUUCUUCAAAAACUUUUCCAAUCCAUAGAAGAAAAGACCCAAGCAGCAGAAAAGUAACAGGUCGUCAGAGAAAAUGAGAAGUUCACCUGAGUUGCAGAGGGCAAAGGGAGCGGAGAAAUCGGCCGAAGCAAAAAUGUGCCACUUCCGCCCCGGUCUGCCCAAAAGCGCUCUUAAUGAGGGGAAAAAGGUUGUAGAUUCAUGUAACCAGCGCAUGCACACACAACGAUGUCCGUCUCUCCUCCAGCUUUGUCUCCCAGCCCAUCUUGCUUUAUUAAUUGUUAAUUAUUGUGGUACGCAAUUUUUGUGUUUAUAUAAUAUAUAAUUUUUUAUAUUUAACAAAAAGAUUAGUUAGAUCAAAAAUAGAGGAUGAAGUAAUUGAAAUGUGAA